AUACCAUGAAAAAGACAUCUCCUGAGUAACUCCUUAAAUCUUUCUCAUGCAUCAUACAAAUUGUCAUCUUCUAGUUGAUGGAAAGAUGUGAUUUCGUUCCUCAAUUU
rfam:Citrus clementina cultivar Clemenules unplaced genomic scaffold scaffold_1, whole genome shotgun sequence.